rnacentral:tRNA from 1 species
UCUAAUAUGGCAGACUAGUGCAAUGAAUUUAAGAUUCAUUUAUAAAUUUUUUUUUGUUAGAA